rnacentral:rRNA from 1 species
GACGUAGGGCGCGAGCGUUGUCCGGAUUUAUUGGGCGUAAAGAGCUCGUAGGCGGCUUGUUGCGUCGACCGUGAAAACCCGGGGCUCAACUUCGGGCUUGCGGUCGAUACGGGCGGGCUAGAGUUCGGUAGGGGAGAUUGGAAUUCCUGGUGUAGCGGUGGAAUGCGCAGAUAUCAGGAGGAACACCAAUGGCGAAGGCAGAUCUCUGGGCCGUAACUGACGCUGAGGAGCGAAAGCGUGGGGAGCGAACAGG